UAGGGAAUUUUGCGCAAUGGGCGAAAGCCUGACGCAGCAACGCCGCGUGAGGGAUGAAGGUUCUCGGAUUGUAAACCUCUGUUGAGUGGGAAGAAACGUCGGGGGGUUAAUAACUCUUCGGCCUGACGGUACCAUUCGAGUAAGCCCCGGCUAACUACGUGCCAGCAGCCGCGGUAAUACGUAGGGGGCUAGCGUUGUUCGGAAUUACUGGGCGUAAAGGGAGUGUAGGCGGGGAAGUAAGUCAGGAGUGUAAUCUAUGGGCUUAACCCGUAGUUUGCUUUUGAUACUGCUUUUCUUGAGUAGUGGAGAGGGAGACGGAAUUCCAGGUGUAGCGGUGGAAUGCGUAGAGAUCUGGAAGAACACCAGUAGCGAAGGCGGUCUCCUGGUCACAUACUGACGCUGAGGCUCGAGAGCUAGGGGAGCAAACAGG
rnacentral:rRNA from 1 species